AACGAACGCUGGCGGCAGGCCUAACACAUGCAAGUCGAACGCACCGCAAGGUGAGUGGCGCACGGGGGAGUAACACGGGGGAAGGGAUCCUUUUGUUCGGAAUAACGUCUGGAAACGGAGGCUAACACCGGAAGAGGCCUGAGGGGGAAAGAUUUAGCGCCAAAGGAGCAGCCCGCGUCUGAUGAGGUAGUUGGCGGGGGAAAGGCCUACCAAGCCGACGAUAAGUAGACGGGCUGAGAGGAAGAUCAGCCACACUGGGGCUCGGAACCGGCCCAGACUACUGCGGGAGGCAGCAGUGGGGAAUAUUGGAAAAUGGGCGCAAGCCUGAACCAGCCAUGCCGCGUGAGUGAUGAAGGCCUUCGGGUUGUAAAGCUCUUUCGCACACGACGAUAAUGACGGUAGUGUGAGAAGAAGCCCCGGCUAACUUCGUGCCAGCAGCCGCAGUAACAC
rnacentral:rRNA from 1 species